UGUGGGGGAAAAGGUGAUGAGGGUGCAUCUGCACACCUAUGUUCAUAGGGGGGUAUUUAUUCUGCAUCCACGUCUUCACAAGGAGCUGAAAACAAAUUGGAUGGAAGCAACUGGGUUUUAUGGGACACGUUAAUGUUUUAAUGUCAUUUGGUGUGGAAUUCAGAUGUCCAAGCAACAUUUUACACUACAAAUCUGCAACUUUAAUAAUCACUCAAAGUACCUGAACCUCAAUGCUUUCAGACAGACUUGGUAUAAAGCCACCACCUCUUUCUAUUAUGGCAGCCCUAUCC
rnacentral:lncRNA from 1 species